GCCGGCGGGAAAACAGGUAGAACCGCAGGACUUAAAAUCCUGAGCUCCUCCGGGGGCGUGUGGGUUCAAUUCCCACCCUCGGCA
rnacentral:tRNA from 7 species